AUGCACGGAGGCCUUCAACUAGGUCCUGGCAACACGUUUCCACACCCUGCAUGGGACUCAGUUCGUGGCAGCCAGCACGAUGUAGCGUGACCAAUCCACAGCCUCGCCAGUACAUCUGCCACAUGUCGACUGUGUUUGGGAAUGUUUCUACAACUAGUGAAUGACUCUACAACUAGUGAAUGACUCUACAACUAGUGAAUGACUCUACAGCUGGUGAAUGACUCUACAACUAAUGAAUAACUCUACAACUG